rnacentral:rRNA from 1 species
UACAGAGGGGGCAAGCGUUGUUCGGAAUUACUGGGCGUAAAGGGCGCGUAGGCGGCCUGUUAAGUCGGACGUGAAAUCCCUCGGCUCAACCGGGGAACUGCGUCCGAUACUGGCGGGCUUGAAUUCGGGAGAGGGAUGUGGAAUUCCAGGUGUAGCGGUGAAAUGCGUAGAUAUCUGGAGGAAUACCGGUGGCGAAGGCGGCAUCCUGGACCAUAACUGACGCUGAGGCGCGAAAGCUAGGGGAGCAAACAGG